rnacentral:lncRNA from 10 species
AAAAAAACAGAGGAAGGGCACAGGGAAAGGUUUUAUUACAAAAGAAUGCCAACUAAGAGAUGCAGAAAUAAAUUUUUUAAAUCACUAUUUUAUAACCACCAAGAAAUGAAAAAACCCACUAUUUUAUAACCACCACUGUAAUAUCAAAUUCAGGUAAGAUCAUCAAGGGUUGCUGAAGCCACUGGGUGAAAUACCGUGGUACAGGAUGUGCAAAAAUCCAACAGAUACCACCUUAACUGAAUGAGCAAGCAGAACAUCUCCAGUGACGGGACAAACCACGUCAGGUGCCUCCCGACGUGAUGCACAGAGAAGGAUGCAGCAUCUCUGAUGCCAUUCUCCUAAGAAAAUGCUCAUCCUGAAUCUAAUCCUGAAACCAACCCAGAUUGGAGGACAUUCUGCCAAACAACUAGCCUGGACUCUUCAAAAGUAUCAAUGUCAUGGAAGAUUUUUUAAAAGCUGGCAAACUGUUCAAAAUUAAAUAAGACUAACAAACUGGCAGUCAAAUGCAAUAUAUGAUCCUGAAAUGGAUCCUGGAUUAGGAAAGAAAACCAAACAAAAUUAUAAAGUACAUUAUUGGGACAGCUGAGGAAAUUUCAAAAUGGACUAUGUAACAGCCAAAAAUAAAUACAGAAAUAUCUACACAUAUGCCUGCAUGCACACACACAAUGAGGGGAGAUAAGGCAGAUGAGGCAAGAUGUUAACAACUAGAGAAUCUAGGUGAAAAUGUUCCUUGUACUCUUCUUGUAACUUUUC